rnacentral:rRNA from 1 species
AUUGAACGCUGGCGGCAGGCUUAACACAUGCAAGUCGAGCGGGGGAAGGUAGCUUGCUACCGGACCUAGCGGCGGACGGGUGAGUAAUGCUUAGGAAUCUGCCUAUUAGUGGGGGACAACAUCUCGAAAGGGAUGCUAAUACCGCAUACGUCCUACGGGAGAAAGCAGGGGAUCUUCGGACCUUGCGCUAAUAGAUGAGCCUAAGUCGGAUUAGCUAGUUGGUGGGGUAAAGGCCUACCAAGGCGGCGAUCUGUAGCGGGUCUGCGAGGAUGGUCCUCCACGCUGGGACUGAGACACCGCCCAGACUCCUACGGGAGGCAGCAGUGGGGCAUGUUGGACAAUUGGGGGAGACCUGUUCCAGCCAUGCCGCGUGUGUUAAUAAGGCCUUAUGGUUUUAAUGCACUUUAAGCGAGGAGGAGGCUACUCUAGUUAAUACCUAGGGAUAGUGGACGUUACUCGCAGAAUAAGCACCGGCUAACUCUGUACCAGCGGCCGCCGUAA